rnacentral:rRNA from 1 species
GACGAACCGUGCGAACGUUGUUCGGAAUCACUGGGCUUAAAGGGCGCGUAGGCGGGCGGCCGCGUCCGGGGUGAAAUCCCGCCGCUCAACGGCGGAACGGCCUCGGAUACGGGCGGACUCGAGGGGGGUAGGGGCGUGCGGAACUCUGGGUGGAGCGGUGAAAUGCGUUGAUAUCCAGAGGAACUCCGGUGGCGAAGGCGGCACGCUGGACCCCUUCUGACGCUGAGGCGCGAAAGCCAGGGGAGCAAACGGG